rnacentral:tRNA from 1 species
GCGCCCGUAGCUCAGCUGGAUAGAGCGUCUGGCUACGAACCAGAAGGCCGGCAGUUCGAAUCUGUCCGGGCGCACCA